ensembl:misc_RNA Metazoa_SRP Metazoan signal recognition particle RNA
GCCAGGCAUGGUGGUGCAUGCCUGUAAUCCCAGCUACUCGGGAGGCUGAGACAGGAGAAUUGCUUGAACUCGGGAGGCAGAGGUUGCAGUGAGCUGAGAUCACACCAUUGCACUCCAGCCUGGGCAACAGAGCAAGACUCUGUCUCAA